rnacentral:rRNA from 1 species
AUUGAACGCUGGCGGCAGGCCUAACACAUGCAAGUCGAACGGCAGCACAGAAGAGCUUGCUCUUUGGGUGGCGAGUGGCGGACGGGUGAGUAAUGUCUGGGAAACUGCCCGAUGGAGGGGGAUAACUACUGGAAACGGUAGCUAAUACCGCAUAACGUCGCGAGACCAAAGUGGGGGACCUUCGGGCCCCACACCAUCGGAUGUGCCCGGAUGGGAUUAGCUAGUAGGUGGGGUAAUGGCUCACCUAGGCGACGAUCCCUAGCUGGUCUGAGAGGAUGACCAGCCACACUGGAACUGAGACACGGUCCAGACUCCUACGGGAGGCAGCAGUGGGGAAUAUUGCACAAUGGGCGCAGGCCUGAUGCAGCCAUGCCGCGUGUAUGAAGAAGGCCUUCGGGUUGUAAAGUACUUUCAGCGGGGAGGAAGGCGGUGAGGUUAAUAACCUCGCCGAUUGACGUUACCCGCAGAAGAAGCACCGGCUAACUCCGUGCCAGCAGCCGCCGUAA